AUGAACGCUGGCGGCGUGCCUAAUACAUGCAAGUCGAGCGAACAGACGAGGAGCUUGCUCCUCUGACGUUAGCGGCGGACGGGUGAGUAACACGUGGAUAACCUACCUAUAAGACUGGGAUAACUUCGGGAAACCGGAGCUAAUACCGGAUAAUAUAUUGAACCGCAUGGUUCAAUAGUGAAAGACGGUUUUGCUGUCACUUAUAGAUGGAUCCGCGCCGCAUUAGCUAGUUGGUAAGGUAACGGCUUACCAAGGCGACGAUGCGUAGCCGACCUGAGAGGGUGAUCGGCCACACUGGAACUGUGACACGGUCCAGACUCCUACGGGAGGCAGCAGUAGGGAAUCUUCCGCAAUGGGCGAAAGCCUGACGGAGCAACGCCGCGUGAGUGAUGAAGGUCUUCGGAUCGUAAAACUCUGUUAUUAGGGAAGAACAAAUGUGUAAGUAACUAUGCACGUCUUGACGGUACCUAAUCAGAAAGCCACGGCUAACUACGUG
rnacentral:rRNA from 1 species